rnacentral:rRNA from 1 species
ACUAAUAUAAAAAUUAUUUCUUGUAUUAUUAAUAGCUAUGUUCUUUAAAAUAAAAAAAUUUGGCGGUAAUUCAAUCUUAUCAGAGGAAUCUGUUUUUUAAUCGACAUGACGCGUUAGAUUUCACUUAUUUUUAAGGUUUGUAUACCGUCAUUAAGAUAGUCUUGAUAAAGAACUAUCUAAAUUAAUUAUUUAGUAAAAUUAGAUCAAGGUGCAGCGUAUAAAUAAGGUUAUAAUAGAUUACAAUAAUUUUAAAUUAUUUGGAUAGUUUUAUGAAAUUUAAAGCUUGAAGGUGGAUUUGAUAGUAUGUUUGAUAUAAUAUAUAAAAUAGAAAUUAGUUCUGAAUUGUGU